rnacentral:rRNA from 1 species
GAUGAACGCUAGCGGCAGGCUUAAUACAUGCAAGUCGAGGGGCAGCACAGAUAGCAAUAUUGGGUGGCGACCGGCAAACGGGUGCGGAACACGUACACAACCUUCCUUUUAGUGUGGGAUAGCCCAGAGAAAUUUGGAUUAAUGCCACAUAGUAUAUUGGAGUGGCAUCACUUUGAUAUUAAAGAUUUAUCGCUAAAAGAUGGGUGUGCGUAUGAUUAGGUAGUUGGUAGAGGUAACGGCUCACCAAGCCUGCGAUCAUUAACUGGUGUGAGAGCACGACCAGUCACACGGGCACUGAGACACGGGCCCGACUCCUACGGGAGGCAGCAGUAAGGAACAUUGGUCAAUGGACGGAAGUCUGAACCAGCCAUGCCGCGUGAAGGAUGACGGCCCUCUGGGUUGUAAACUUCUUUUAUGUGGGACGAAAAAGGGCCAUUUUUGGUCAACUGACGGUACCAUAGGAAUAAGCACCGGCUAACUCCGUGCCAGCCGCCGCCGUAA